AUGAACGCUAGCUACAGGCUUAACACAUGCAAGUCGAGGGGCAUCAGGGUGUAGCAAUACACCGCUGGCGACCGGCGCACGGGUGAGUAACACGUAUCCAACCUGCCCUUUACUCGGGGAUAGCCUUUCGAAAGAAAGAUUAAUACCCGAUGGCAUAACAUGACCUCCUGGUUUUGUUAUUAAAGAAUUUCGGUAGAGGAUGGGGAUGCGUUCCAUUAGGCAGUUGGCGGGGUAACGGCCCACCAAACCUUCGAUGGAUAGGGGUUCUGAGAGGAAGGUCCCCCACAUUGGAACUGAGACACGGUCCAAACUCCUACGGGAGGCAGCAGUGAGGAAUAUUGGUCAAUGGGCGAGAGCCUGAACCAGCCAAGUAGCGUGAAGGAUGACCGCCCUAUGGGUUGUAAACUUCUUUUAUAUGGGAAUAAAGGGUGCCACGUGUGGCAUUUUGUAUGUACCAUAUGAAUAAGGAUCGGCUAACUCCGUGCCAGCAGCCGCGGUAAUACGGAGGAUCCGAGCGUUAUCCGGAUUUAUUGGGUUUAAAGGGAGCGUAGGUGGACAUGUAAGUCAGUUGUGAAAGUUUGCGGCUCAACCGUAAAAUUGCAGUUGAAACUGCGUGUCUUGAGUACAGUAGAGGUGGGCGGAAUUCGUGGUGUAGCGGUGAAAUGCUUAGAUAUCACGAAGAACUCCGAUUGCGAAGGCAGCUCACUGGACUGCAACUGACACUGAUGCUCGAAAGUGUGGGUAUCAAACAGGAUUAGAUACCCUGGUAGUCCACACAGUAAACGAUGAAUACUCGCUGUUUGCGAUAUACAGUAAGCGGCCAAGCGAAAGCAUUAAGUAUUCCACCUGGGGAGUACGCCGGCAACGGUGAAACUCAAAGGAAUUGACGGGGGCCCGCACAAGCGGAGGAACAUGUGGUUUAAUUCGAUGAUACGCGAGGAACCUUACCCGGGCUUAAAUUGCAAAUGAAUAUGCCGGAAACGGCAUAGCCGCAAGGCAUUUGUGAAGGUGCUGCAUGGUUGUCGUCAGCUCGUGCCGUGAGGUGUCGGCUUAAGUGCCAUAACGAGCGCAACCCUUAUCUUCAGUUACUAACAGGUCAUGCUGAGGACUCUGGAGAGACUGCCGUCGUAAGAUGUGAGGAAGGUGGGGAUGACGUCAAAUCAGCACGGCCCUUACGUCCGGGGCUACACACGUGUUACAAUGGCCGGUACAGAGGGUCGCUACCUGGUGACAGGAUGCUAAUCUCGAAAUCCGGUCGUAGUUCGGAUUGGAGUCUGUAACCCGACUCCAUGAAGUUGGAUUCGCUAGUAAUCGCGCAUCAGCCAUGGCGCGGUGAAUACGUUCCCGGGCCUUGUACACACCGCCCGUCAAGCCAUGGGAGCCGGGGGUACCUGAAGUACGUAACCGCAAGGAGCGUCCUAGGGUAAAACUGGUGACUGGGGCU
rnacentral:rRNA from 1 species